CAAAAGUAUUCCUGGAAUCUCAUAUCUUUUCUAGACUUUUCCAAACUCUGAUAACAAGACUGCAGUUCUCCCAAAAAAACAUUCACUUUUUGAACUCUAUUCACAAAUCAGGUCAAAUACUAAAUGUGCAUCCCUAACCUUGGCUGUAUGAAAUGUCUUACUCCUUUCUCUGUUUCCUUUACUUGCCAUCUGGUCUAAAACAACUUUAUUAACCACUUGUACAUACUGGGAAAUGUACUUGUAAUUUUACUAUUUAGCAGCCGUGGACAAUCCAUUACACAUGACAAUGUGACCUGGAGACGGUAGACUUGUAUUAUUUAUGGUCUUGUAAGGGAAUUCAUCAAUUUGGGAUUCUCUGAAGACAUUCUAAAAAUUGCUUUCCUUCUCUACUCUGAAUUGACAAUCCUAAUAUAUGUCCCA